UAUUCGGUUUAUAUUCUGCUGUUGCCAUUCUGGAAUUUCUGCUUUUAUCUUUGAGUUUGUUAUUUUAUAAGUUGAAUCCAAUGGGACAACAGAGCACAACGUCAACAAAGAAAUGUGUGCAACGUUACGGACCCAUUGUUCCGUGAGGCCCAGUGUGCUGCGCUCUAGAAGUACUAAAUUCCAUUGGACUCAGGACUGCGUGGGAGUUAGAUCCAAGAAUGAUUUCAAGACACACAGUUUUUAAAAGGAUGAGAAAGCAGCUCAGAACAGUGUGCUGUCAAAGGAGUCCGGGGAAAAGGAAGUUGUCUGCAGUGUCAGAUGUGAUAGAGAGUUGCAGUCCUUUUCCUUAACAUGCUCCUACGAUCUGGCACUAUGAACAUUUGUGGAACAACUUCGAAUAGACAUUCACUCUAAGAGACAAAACAGCCACAGUUUAAAUAUGUGAGCAGAUCCAUCGAAAAAAAUCUCAUUCAUAAAAUAAUGGUGCUUUGUAACAAGUUCAUGUGACUGUGGAAAUUUGAAAAAUGUGUUAUUGCUUGGGUCGUUUUA